AGAUGGCGACCGGCGCACGGGUGAGUAACACGUAUCCAACCUGCCGAUAACUCGGGGAUAGCCUUUCGAAAGAAAGAUUAAUACCCGAUGGUAUAAUCAGACCGCAUGGUUUGAUUAUAAAGAAUUUCGGUUAUCGAUGGGGAUGCGUUCCAUUAGGCAGUUGGUGAGGUAACGGCUCACCAAACCUUCGAUGGAUAGGGGUUCUGAGAGGAAGGUCCCCCACAUUGGAACUGAGACACGGUCCAA
rnacentral:rRNA from 1 species